ACAAACUUGGUCAUUUAGAGGAAGUAAAAGUCGUAACAAGGUUUCCGUAGGUGAACCUGCGGAAGGAUCAUUAACGAAGCUGAACACAAGUAGUUGCUGGCUCUCUAGGGAGCACUGUGCACACUUGUAAGUCUUCAACUCUUCCCCUUUGUGCACCUUUGGCUAGUACUUAUUGAAGUGAGAGAUUUCUUUGUAACAGAGGAAGUCUUGUUUGAGCUUUAGUAUCUUGUACUAUGCAACUUUUAUAAACGUAUGUCUUUGAAAGUCUUUGCAAGGUCUUUGUACCUGUAAAAUCUAUACAACUUUUAGCAACGGAUCUCUUGGCUCUCGCAUCGAUGAAGAACGCAGC
rnacentral:misc_RNA from 1 species